rnacentral:sRNA from 1 species
CAGCCUUUGUCACUUCAAACACUGCAAGUGUUCUUUAAAAAGAAUUAUAUCAACCUUUCAAUUAAAAUGCAACAUGUCUGAAACUUGGUAUCUGGAGAGUAAUUUGUUUCCACACUGCAGAGUGGGUAAUAAGCAGAUUAGUAAAACCAGUUCUGCUUCACUUUAA